rnacentral:lncRNA from 1 species
CCCUCCUUCCUCCACCUCACAAAAACUCACAAGCUGCAACCCUUCUGAUGUCCACUCCCACACAAACCAGCUUCAGGCCUUUUUCAAGAUGUGACUGGAGUGAUUUGCACCCGGAUGCCUAGACUCGCCAUCUGCUCAAAGACUGCUCAGAAAGCCCUCCCAUGCAUUCCCCUGCUGCAUACCAGCCCACUCUGCCUGCAGCUGCUGUCUGCAGGACUUCAUAUCUAUGCCACACUGUGUAAAAGCUGUGCUUCAAGAAAUCACAAAAACAUUUUCCUGCACCUACUACACAGCCUGAGUGCGGCAUAAGUUGACCUUGCUUGCUAAGAAAUGGGGCAAGAAAUGCUUUUUUGUGUGUGUCAUGUCUGUUUGUUUUUCAAUUAAGAGAGGAAAGCAUUAGGCAGAUGGAAUGUACAUGUGAGGAUGAGGAGACAGAAAACAAGUAGCCCUUUCCAUCAAGAUAGAGGGUUUUCUGGGGUUGCUGGCUAUUGAAUGUCACUCCUGAUUUCUCUUUCCAAGGCACUGUACCACCAGCCUACUGAGAUUGUGUGGGAGCUUUCAUGGGGGUUGUAUUUCACUGAUGAAAAUAAAUUUUUUGCAUAAUGUGAAUGUUUAUGUUUCUUUAUAGAAUAGACUUAGUUUAGCAAUAAG